rnacentral:rRNA from 1 species
AUUGAACGCUGGCGGCAGGCCUAACACAUGCAAGUCGAACGAGUGGCGGACGGGUGAGUAAUGUAUGGGAAACUGCCCGGUGGAGGGGGAUAACUACUGGAAACGGUAGCUAAUACCGCAUACCAUCGGAUGUGCCCAGAUGGGAUUAGCUAGUAGGUGGGGUAACGGCUCACCAAGGCCACGAUCCCUAGCUGGUCUGAGAGGAUGACCAGCCACACGGGAACUGAGACACGGCCCAGACUCCUACGGGAGGCAGCAGUGGGGAAUAUUGCACAAUGGGGGCAAGCCUGAUGCAGCCAUGCCGCGUGUAUGAAGAAGGCCUUCGGGUUGUAAAGUACUUUCAGCGGGGAGGCGGUAUCCGCAGAAGAAGCACCGGCUAACUCCGUGCCAGCAGCCGCGGUAAUUC